rnacentral:rRNA from 1 species
UACGUAGGUGGCAAGCGUUGUCCGGAAUUAUUGGGCGUAAAGCGCGCGCAGGCGGUCCUUUAAGUCUGAUGUGAAAGCCCACGGCUCAACCGUGGAGGGUCAUUGGAAACUGGGGGACUUGAGUACAGAAGAGAAGAGUGGAAUUCCACGUGUAGCGGUGAAAUGCGUAGAGAUGUGGAGGAACACCGGUGGCGAAGGCGACUCUUUGGUCUGUAACUGACGCUGAGGCGCGAAAGCGUGGGGAGCAAACAGG